UACGUAGGGUGCGAGCGUUGUUCGGAAUCACUGGGCGUAAAGGGUGCGUAGGCGGCACGGUAAGUCAGAGGUGAAAUCCCGGAGCUCAACUUCGGAAUUGCCUCCGAUACUGCCGUGCUUGAGGACUGGAGAGGAGAUUGGAAUUCACAGUGGAGCAGUGAAAUGCGUAGAUAUUGUGAGGAACACUAGUGGCGAAGGCGAAUCUCUGGACAGUUCCUGACGCUGAGGCACGAAGGCCAGGGGAGCAAACGGG
rnacentral:rRNA from 1 species